AGGGCUAGUUCCAUUCUGAUAGACUCUGUGGGUUCCACAACUAUCUUGCCUGCAGCUCUGCAUUUAGGGACACCCAAAUUGGAAGAGGACUUACUGGUCCUUUCAAGGGGGAGACGGAGGCUUUCAAGGAUGCUGUGCUAAGAAGGGUCCCAGCAUUCAGCCUGAGCCCCAGGUUCUGCUCAGAAACACCAACCCACAGCUUUUGCAGGCCUGCAGAGACCAAGACACCUCACCACGCCCUCAAAGAGCCAGAGGAAUGUUGGACACUGUGAAACCGUAGAGGCGAGUCACCCCUGGGAACACAUAGGCCAGGAUACGCCGGUCAAGCUGGAACGCGAUCUCCCCAACGAUUCGGCCAUCCUUCUCAGCACCCGAAAAACUCUGGAUCUCUGGGUAACACAAGUGCCAUCCUGACCAUUUCAAGGCACCAAAGUACCUUCCCCCCACCCCCACCCCCACUGCCAGAGUACAUGAAAAUCUUUAAAAAGCUGAGGUAUUUGGACCUGAAGAGGGGACCAUCCCUCUCUGUUUGCUCUCAGCAUGUUCCCCUGAGACCUGGGCACAUAGCUCCUUCUCUGUCUCUGUCUGAGAAGCCAAAAGUCAUGUGAAACUGUAGAAGACAGUGGGGCCCCUGGGAAAGAGGGUACCCAAGUCUAUCCAGAGAGAGCGGGGCUCUCCCCUGUUGUUCUCAGAUGCUGUUCUGCCACCCCACCAACUCAGCCUUCUCUGAGGACAGCAGGAGACAUCACAGCCUGGAUCUGGAAAGAGCCAGCCUCUUCCAGUCUACAGCAUUGCCACCAAAGACAGGCCAAUGUCUGAAAGGAGUAACCAACCACUUUCUGACUGGAUUUGAGACCGGCUCCACAGGCAGGAAGACGUUGAGGCCAUGCCAUGAGGAGGAGCCAUCUUUUCAAGAGUUGGCGCUGGAAUAGCUUCUACAAGCAAACCUCACACCACAGACAAAACCCCAAACACUUGGUCCUAGUCAGAGACCUAAAUCCAAAACCUAAAGCUACGAGACCUCUAAAAGAUUAAAGAGCAUCUA
rnacentral:lncRNA from 1 species